UCAACUUGAGAGUUUGAUCCUGGCUCAGAACGAACGCUGGCGGCAGGCCUAACACAUGCAAGUCGAGCGAGACCUUCGGGUCUAGCGGCGGACGGGUGAGUAACGCGUGGGAACGUGCCCUUUGCUACGGAAUAGCCCCGGGAAACUGGGAGUAAUACCGUAUGUGCCCUUCGGGGGAAAGAUUUAUCGGCAAAGGAUCGGCCCGCGUUGGAUUAGGUAGUUGGUGGGGUAAUGGCCUACCAAGCCGACGAUCCAUAGCUGGUUUGAGAGGAUGAUCAGCCACACUGGGACUGAGACACGGCCCAGACUCCUACGGGAGGCAGCAGUGGGGAAUCUUAGACAAUGGGGGA
rnacentral:rRNA from 1 species